AAGAAUGUGGAAACGGUUUUUAAUGGC
rnacentral:piRNA from 1 species